UACAGAGGGUGCGAGCGUUGUUCGGAAUUAUUGGGCGUAAAGCGCAUGUAGGCGGUCUGCUAAGUCGCGUGUGAAAGCUUCCAGCUCAACUGGAAAAGUGCGCGCGAAACUGGUGGACUUGAGUGCUGGAGAGGGUGGCGGAAUUCCCGGUGUAGAGGUGAAAUUCGUAGAUAUCGGGAGGAACACCAGAGGCGAAGGCGGCCACCUGGACAGACACUGACGCUGAGACGCGAAAGCGUGGGGAGCAAACAGG
rnacentral:rRNA from 1 species